UUGAGGACAACACAACAAGCUUAACAUGUGACUGACAACAGGCAAUGGCAUUCAUGUUCACAUUUUUCAUCUCUAAAUAUAUAAAUAUUUAUCAGGAAGUACUUUAUUAAGUAGAGAUUACUGAAAUCUUUUUAAUGCAAUCCCAUCUCCCUAGUAAAAUGGAGGACAAAAAAGCAUAAUAAGCAACACACAUGAACCUAGCAUAUCAGAGCAAUCAAACUGAACAUUAUGAACAAAACCAGCAACACAAUAAAAUUAUUACUUAACAUAACUUCUCUAAUCCACCACUAUCAAUGAAGACAACAUAAAUAAAUAAUAAAGCAAAAACCCUUAAAAAAGACUAACUAGAACCAAAAAAAUUCUCCCUUGCGACCCGCCCUUUAGAACUGUGACUCCCUUGUUUGAAGCUUUAACCCUUGAAAAUUGAAACCCACCCAAUUUCUCACUAUGGCCAUCACCCCCAUCUGCAUGGAUCGGCACCAAUUCAUUCCAGAAACAAAACUAAACAGGCCCAACAAAACCCAAAGGACAAAGAACAUUACAAGCAACUCACAUUGAACCUCACAUACACAAUAAAGCAGUUAAACUAACCUUGUUAGAAUGAAAAUGGCAACAAAACUACAACCUCGUAAAUUUCCAUUAUGAGUAGCACUGAAUGGAAAUAAAAUCACAGAGCAUAAACCUUUAAAAAGAAAGAAAGAAAAAACCUUGAGCCACAAACAUGACAUACCCUUUAAAACAAUCACUCCCUUGUUUGAUGCUUUAAUCCCUUGGAAUCCACCCAAUCUCGCAGAAGCCCAUCACUUCCAAAAGGAUUCACUUCUCUCUCUCUCCC
rnacentral:lncRNA from 1 species